CAAUAGCGUAUACUAAUGUUGUUGCAGUUAAAAAGCUCGUAGUUGGACUUCUGGUAGGAGUGUCCCGGCCUUUUUGUUUUUACAAAUUGUAUGCUGUGUGACAUCUCUGGCCAUCCUUCUUCUUUGUUUAAAGAAGAUCUUUCACUGUAAAAAAAUUAGGGUGUUCAAAGCAAAAGUUUCUUUGGAAUAUAUUAGUAUGGGAUGAUAAGAUAGGCUCUAGAUGCUAUUUUGUUGGUUUGCACAUUUAGAGAAUGAUUAACAGGGACAGUUGGGGGUAUUCGUAUUUACAUGUCAGAGGUGAAAUUCUUGGAUUUUGGAAAGACGAACUACUGCGAAAGCAUUUACCAAGGAUGUUUUCAUUAA
rnacentral:rRNA from 1 species